GACAGCUCCUGAGGAGAAAACGCUGGCUGCCCUUUUGCUCCGGUUUUGCAAAAAAAAUCAAAAAACUUGUGUUAGUCAUUAGUCAGCACUUUUUGGGCUGAAUCACCUGACGCAGAAAGCUUUGCUGUCAUGGGAAAUGUUUGGAAUAUCCCCGGGGGGGCGGCACCCAGCACCCAGCAUCUCAUCAGGGACCAGAUUUCGCCUGCAGCCCGUAAGGUGAUGAUACAUCGAGGACGUUGAACUUGCUUUGCCCCGAGGGCACUUCUGCAAAAUCAGAGAUGGCAUCGCUGAUCAGGAGUGAUGUUUGCUUGUUUCAAAUGUUAAAUGAAACCAUUGAACUAAAAGUGUCUUUCAUGAAAAAAGUCAUAAUGUAAUUUGCCAUGGAAGGUCAUGGUGCAACAUGCAAAAAAAUGCCAAAAAAUGUGAUAGGAUAGUAUGUCAUAAAAGUGACAGAAAAAGUUGUAGUAUAGUAUGCCAUGAAAGCGAAUAAAAACUUCAUAGACUGGUAUGUUAUCGAAAGUCAUAGAAAAGAAUUUAAUUUAAAAAAAAUGACAAAGACGGUAUAAUAUGUCACAAAAAAACAU